rnacentral:rRNA from 1 species
GUCUACUCAGAGUGCUUGGGUGGAGGUCUGUGUUCGGGGCCGUGGGCGCGCGUCUCGUGCGUGCGUUCUCGCGCUUCGGCGCUUCCUCUUUUGCUCACCUCUGUGCUCUUACUUGGAGGGGGUGACUUCUGUGUCACCUUGAGUAAAUCAUGGUGCUCACAGCAGUCGUGCGGGCCCUGUGCCCUGUGAACAGUCUAUGCGGACUGAAUUGGUUUUGCAAGGCAUGACGAAACAUGACGUCGCUGCUGGUCGCGAGUGUGAGGGUGCAGUCCUCGUGGCUGUGUCGAGCGGUUUGCCAGUAGUGACGUAAUGAUCAAUGGAGACGGUAGCUGGCAUUGGUAUUGCGCGGCGAGAGGUGAAAUUCUGCGACCCCCGCAAGACCUCCUAAAGCGAAGGCGUCUGCCAAGGACGUGUUCACCAAUCAUGAACGAAAGUCAGAGGAUCGAAGGCGAUCAGAUACCGCCCUAGUUCUGACCCUAAACGAUGCCAACCAUCAAUCCGCGUGAGCACCCUAUCUAACGGGCUCGGCGGGCAGCUCCCUUCUUCCGGGAAACCAGAGUUUUUGGGUUCCGGGGGGAGUCUGGUUGCAAAGCU